UACAUAGGGAGCGAGCGUUAUCCGGAAUUAUUGGGCGUAAAGCGUAUGUAGGUGGUUUGUUAAGUUAGGUGUUAAAUCGUUGGGCUCAACCCAAUUACGCACUUAAUACUGACGAACUCGAGUUUAGGAGAGGAAAGGGGAACUCACAGUGUAGCGGUGAAAUGCGUAGAUAUUGUGAGGAACACCAGUGGCGAAGGCGCCUUUCUGGCCUAAAACUGACACUGAGAUACGAAAGCGUGGGGAGC
rnacentral:rRNA from 1 species